UUUCCUACGGGGGGCAGCAGUGGGGAAUAUUGCACAAUGGGGGAAACCCUGAUGCAGCGACGCCGCGUGAGUGAAGAAGUAUUUCGGUAUGUAAAGCUCUAUCAGCAGGGAAGAUAAUGACGGUACCUGACUAAGAAGCCCCGGCUAACUACGUGCCAGCAGCCGCGGUAAUACGUAGGGGGCAAGCGUUAUCCGGAUUUACUGGGUGUAAAGGGAGCGUAGACGGCAGUGCAAGUCCGGAGUGAAAGCCCGGGGCUCAACCCUGGGACUGCUCUGGAAACUGUAAAGCUGGAGUGCGGGAGGGG
rnacentral:rRNA from 1 species